CACAAGUGACCAGCCUGCGACAUGAAGAAAAGCAUAGAUCGUUGGAAACAAAAUUCUCACCAAGGAAAAUCUGCAGCAACAGGAAGGAGAAUGCAAAGAUGAAGCUUGCCAUUCUGAAAAAUAUUUUUUCCACGCACAGUUUAAGAAUGGCACAGCAGUCUCUAAAGCUAAGCAGAAGCAAGCUUGACUACUGUGGAUUAAAAUGGGCCUUUCCUGCUAAGGCAGUCCCCUUGACCUGCAGCUAAACUGCUAGAAGGACACUUGCAUUUCCUAACCCGGUGCUGAGAACUCGGAGCAUCAGCUGAGCCCUGUCCUCAGCAAUUGCUCCCAGGCUGCUUCAGCCCCAGCCCUGCACAGCACCGGUGCUUCUGGAGCCCAGUGCCAACCCAAUACCCAAGCAACAAACAUGUCCUUCCCUCCUAGGCAAUCAAAACUUCAUUCUCAGUAUUGAAAAGAUGACAAAACUACACCUUUGCAUCCUAUGAGACAGUGUACGAAAUCAAAUUUUCUAAGUGAGAACAGCUGAGACUUCCUUACCUGUGGGCACUGGUCAGAAUUACCCACUGGAUUAUCUGGCUGGUAAUGGGCACAACAUGUGCAAGGCUGGGCACGAGCCAUGUGUUUCAGUGAUGUAACUUCAAGGCUGACAGACCCACACCCAAAUUUUUCCUCUAUCUUAAGAUCUGCAGAUCGGUAAAUGGAUUUUCCAAAGUAUAAAAUAGCCAUCUACCUAAAGAGAUUUUUCUUUAAGCAUCCAGAAUAUGCAACUGAAAUUAACUUUUGAGAGGAGAAAAGACAACAAACCAAAUUAUCUGGAUAUUUCCUGAAAUCUUUUGUUGUUGCUCUUGUUGAAAAGACACAGUUUUCCUGAUCUCACCCUAACAAGCAAAGUUUCACUGAAACUGACUCUAAGCCCCAUGCUUUACAAGGCCGGCUUCAGAGCAGGAUUUCAGGGCGUGCAGCUCGAGUGUUCCUCUCCCAGGGAGCUCAUAAGCAGAAGGAAAUUCAGUCUCUGGAAUUUCCAAAGGGUCACACAGCUAACAGACAUUCUACGCCUCUAUAUGACCAAGGAAACAAGC
ensembl:lncRNA